rnacentral:rRNA from 1 species
GGGUUGUGAGGUUAAGCGACUAAGCGUACACGGUGGAUGCCCUGGCAGUCAGAGGCGAUGAAGGACGUGCUAAUCUGCGAUAAGCGUCGGUAAGGUGAUAUGAACCGUUAUAACCGGCGAUUUCCGAAUGGGGAAACCCAGUGUGUUUCGACACACUAUCAUUAACUGAAUCCAUAGGUUAAUGAGGCGAACCGGGGGAACUGAAACAUCUAAGUACCCCGAGGAAAAGAAAUCAACCGAGAUUCCCCCAGUAGCGGCGAGCGAACGGGGAGCAGCCCAGAGCCUGAAUCAGUGUGUGUGUUAGUGGAAGCGUCUGGAAAGGCGCGCGAUACAGGGUGACAGCCCCGUACACAAAAAUGCACAUGCUGUGAGCUCGAUGAGUAGGGCGGGACACGUGGUAUCCUGUCUGAAUAUGGGGGGACCAUCCUCCAAGGCUAAAUACUCCUGACUGACCGAUAGUGAACCAGUACCGUGAGGGAAAGGCGAAAAGAACCCCGGCGAGGGGAGUGAAAAAGAACCUGAAACCGUGUACGUACAAGCAGUGGGAGCACGCUUCGGCGUGUGACUGCGUACCUUUUGUAUAAUGGGUCAGCGACUUAUAUUCUGUAGCAAGGUUAACCGAAUAGGGGAGCCGAAGGGAAACCGAGUCUUAACUGGGCGUUAAGUUGCAGGGUAUAGACCCGAAACCCGGUGAUCUAGCCAUGGGCAGGUUGAAGGUUGGGUAACACUAACUGGAGGACCGAACCGACUAAUGUUGAAAAAUUAGCGGAUGACUUGUGGCUGGGGGUGAAAGGCCAAUCAAACCGGGAGAUAGCUGGUUCUCCCCGAAAGCUAUUUAGGUAGCGCCUCGUGAAUUCAUCUCCGGGGGUAGAGCACUGUUUCGGCAAGGGGGUCAUCCCGACUUACCAACCCGAUGCAAACUGCGAAUACCGGAGAAUGUUAUCACGGGAGACACACGGCGGGUGCUAACGUCCGUCGUGAAGAGGGAAACAACCCAGACCGCCAGCUAAGGUCCCAAAGUCAUGGUUAAGUGGGAAACGAUGUGGGAAGGCCCAGACAGCCAGGAUGUUGGCUUAGAAGCAGCCAUCAUUUAAAGAAAGCGUAAUAGCUCACUGGUCGAGUCGGCCUGCGCGGAAGAUGUAACGGGGCUAAACCAUGCACCGAAGCUGCGGCAGCGACGCUUAUGCGUUGUUGGGUAGGGGAGCGUUCUGUAAGCCUGUGAAGGUGUGCUGUGAGGCAUGCUGGAGGUAUCAGAAGUGCGAAUGCUGACAUAAGUAACGAUAAAGCGGGUGAAAAGCCCGCUCGCCGGAAGACCAAGGGUUCCUGUCCAACGUUAAUCGGGGCAGGGUGAGUCGACCCCUAAGGCGAGGCCGAAAGGCGUAGUCGAUGGGAAACAGGUUAAUAUUCCUGUACUUGGUGUUACUGCGAAGGGGGGACGGAGAAGGCUAUGUUGGCCGGGCGACGGUUGUCCCGGUUUAAGCGUGUAGGCUGGUUUUCCAGGCAAAUCCGGAAAAUCAAGGCUGAGGCGUGAUGACGAAGCACUACGGUGCUGAAGCAACAAAUGCCCUGCUUCCAGGAAAAGCCUCUAAGCAUCAGGUAACAUCAAAUCGUACCCCAAACCGACACAGGUGGUCAGGUAGAGAAUACCAAGGCGCUUGAGAGAACUCGGGUGAAGGAACUAGGCAAAAUGGUGCCGUAACUUCGGGAGAAGGCACGCUGAUAUGUAGGUGAAGUCCCUUGCGGAUGGAGCUGAAAUCAGUCGAAGAUACCAGCUGGCUGCAACUGUUUAUUAAAAACACAGCACUGUGCAAACACGAAAGUGGACGUAUACGGUGUGACGCCUGCCCGGUGCCGGAAGGUUAAUUGAUGGGGUCAGCGCAAGCGAAGCUCUUGAUCGAAGCCCCGGUAAACGGCGGCCGUAACUAUAACGGUCCUAAGGUAGCGAAAUUCCUUGUCGGGUAAGUUCCGACCUGCACGAAUGGCGUAAUGAUGGCCAGGCUGUCUCCACCCGAGACUCAGUGAAAUUGAACUCGCUGUGAAGAUGCAGUGUACCCGCGGCAAGACGGAAAGACCCCGUGAACCUUUACUAUAGCUUGACACUGAACAUUGAGCCUUGAUGUGUAGGAUAGGUGGGAGGCUUUGAAGUGUGGACGCCAGUCUGCAUGGAGCCGACCUUGAAAUACCACCCUUUAAUGUUUGAUGUUCUAACGUUGACCCGUAAUCCGGGUUGCGGACAGUGUCUGGUGGGUAGUUUGACUGGGGCGGUCUCCUCCUAAAGAGUAACGGAGGAGCACGAAGGUUGGCUAAUCCUGGUCGGACAUCAGGAGGUUAGUGCAAUGGCAUAAGCCAGCUUGACUGCGAGCGUGACGGCGCGAGCAGGUGCGAAAGCAGGUCAUAGUGAUCCGGUGGUUCUGAAUGGAAGGGCCAUCGCUCAACGGAUAAAAGGUACUCCGGGGAUAACAGGCUGAUACCGCCCAAGAGUUCAUAUCGACGGCGGUGUUUGGCACCUCGAUGUCGGCUCAUCACAUCCUGGGGCUGAAGUAGGUCCCAAGGGUAUGGCUGUUCGCCAUUUAAAGUGGUACGCGAGCUGGGUUUAGAACGUCGUGAGACAGUUCGGUCCCUAUCUGCCGUGGGCGCUGGAGAACUGAGGGGGGCUGCUCCUAGUACGAGAGGACCGGAGUGGACGCAUCACUGGUGUUCGGGUUGUCAUGCCAAUGGCACUGCCCGGUAGCUAAAUGCGGAAGAGAUAAGUGCUGAAAGCAUCUAAGCACGAAACUUGCCCCGAGAUGAGUUCUCCCUGACUCCUUGAGAGUCCUGAAGGAACGUUGAAGACGACGACGUUGAUAGGCCGGGUGUGUAAGCGCAGCGAUGCGUUGAGCUAACCGGUACUAAUGAACCGUGAGGCUUAACCUUACAACGCCGAAGGUGUUU